UACGGGGGGGGCAAGCGUUGUUCGGAAUUACUGGGCGUAAAGGGCUCGUAGGCGGCCAACUAAGUCAUACGUGAAAUCCCUCGGCUUAACCGGGGAACUGCGUCUGAUACUGGAUGGCUUGAGUUCGGGAGAGGGAUGCGGAAUUCCAGGUGUAGCGGUGAAAUGCGUAGAUAUCGGGAGGAACACCAGAGGCGAAGGCGCCUAGCUGGACAGAUACUGACACUCAACUACGAAAGCGUGGGGAGCAAACAGG
rnacentral:rRNA from 1 species